rnacentral:rRNA from 1 species
GACGAACGCUGGCGGCGUGCCUAAUACAUGCAAGUCGAACGCUGAAGGAGGAGCUUGCUUCUCUGGAUGAGUUGCGAACGGGUGAGUAACGCGUAGGUAACCUGCCUGGUAGCGGGGGAUAACUAUUGGAAACGAUAGCUAAUACCGCAUAAUAGUAGAUGUUGCAUGACAUUUGCUUAAAAGGUGCAGUUGCAUCACUACCAGAUGGACCUGCGUUGUAUUAGCUAGUUGGUGAGGUAACGGCUCACCAAGGCGACGAUACAUAGCCGACCUGAGAGGGUGAUCGGCCACACUGGGACUGAGACACGGCCCAGACUCCUACGGGAGGCAGCAGUAGGGAAUCUUCGGCAAUGGACGGAAGUCUGACCGAGCAACGCCGCGUGAGUGAAGAAGGUUUUCGGAUCGUAAAGCUCUGUUGUAAGAGAAGAACGAGUGUGAGAGUGGAAAGUUCACACUGUGACGGUAUCUUACCAGAAAGGGACGGCUAACUACGUG